rnacentral:rRNA from 1 species
CCUACGGGAGGCAGCAGUCGGGAAUCUUGCACAAUGGGCGAAAGCCUGAUGCAGCAACGCCGUGUGAGCGAUGAAGGCCCUAGGGUCGUAAAGCUCUGUUGUUGGGGACGAAGGGCGAAGGGUUAAUAGCCCUUAGCCUGACGGUACCCUUCGAGGAAGCCCCGGCUAACUACGUGCCAGCAGCCGCGGUAAUACGUAGGGGGCGAGCGUUGUCCGGAAUUAUUGGGCGUAAAGGGCGCGUAGGCGGCCUGGUAAGUCUGCUGUGAAACCUUGGGGCUCAACCCCAAGCGUGCAGUGGAUACUGUCAGGCUAGAGGAUGGUAGAGGCCAGUGGAAUUCCCGGUGUAGCGGUGAAAUGCGCAGAUAUCGGGAGGAACACCAGUAGCGAAGGCGGCUGGCUGGGCCAUUCCUGACGCUGAGGCGCGAAAGCAUGGGGAGCGAACAGGAUUAGAUACCCUGGUAGUCCAUGCCGUAAACGAUGAACACUAGGUGUGGGGGGAGUCGAAUCCCUCCGUGCCGAAGCCAACGCGUUAAGUGUUCCGCCUGGGGAGUACGGCCGCAAGGCUAAAACUCAAAAGAAUUGACGGGGGCCCGCACAAGCAGCGGAGCAUGUUCUUUAAUUCGAUGCAACGCGAAGAACCUUAC